CACCUGCCUCAAAGACGCCUAUGCCGAGAACGCCUGCAGCUAGCGACCUAAAUAACGGUUGAUGACAUGGACGCAAAACCUAUGGAAGCCAGAUUUUUGUGGAAGAAAAAAAAGGGAUUUUACGGCAAAAAGAAAUGUGGAUAAAGUUAAAAGAUGUGGAUUCUCAUUGCACUGCCUUCUUAAUUUCUCUAUUAUUUUGUCAGAGUGUUACAGUUAUUUAACUUUAAAAUUAUACAUCCAGAUAAUUUA